UGGGGAAUAUUGCACAAUGGGCGCAAGCCUGAUGCAGCCAUGCCGCGUGUAUGAAGAAGGCCUUCGGGUUGUAAAGUACUUUCAGCGGGGAGGAAGGUGUUGUGGUUAAUAACCACAGCAAUUGACGUUACCCGCAGAAGAAGCACCGGCUAACUCCGUGCCAGCAGCCGCGGUAAUACGGAGGGUGCAAGCGUGAAUCGGAAUUACUGGGCGUAAAGCGCACGCAGGCGGUCUGUCAAGUCGGAUGUGAAAUCCCCGGGCUCAACCUGGGAACUGCAUCCGAAACUGGCAGGCUUGAGUCUUGUAGAGGGGGGUAGAAUUCCAGGUGUAGCGGUGAAAUGCGUAGAGAUCUGGAGGAAUACCGGUGGCGAAGGCGGCCCCCUGGACAAAGACUGACGCUCAGGUGCGAAAGCGUGGGGAGCAAACA
rnacentral:rRNA from 1 species